GCGUUUGGAUAAUAAAGGAAGCAAGCAUCCGGAAGAAUGGCAUGCUUGUAUAGAGCUCGAUAGCAAAUUCUUUCAAUUCGGCAGUUAAGACAUGGUAGGAACUCAAUCAUGCCGUGGAAGAUUUCCAAAGGUAUUUUGAUGUUGAAUUCACCAGUGAAGCUGUAGCAGAGAAAAAAGAGGGGACAAAUGAAAAUGAUUCAUACAGAUGAAGCCAGAAGAAUUUUGAUGUUAGGUUGUGUAAACUGGUGCAAUAAGUUUAUACAAUUGGUGAUGUUAAUUUGAUAACACUCAUACUGCAAUAGAAAAAGGAAUACGAAGCAAUGAAGAUGGAUGAUUGGAAAGAAAUCAGUCUCGUUUUGUAUACACAGUCUCUGCGUCGAUCAUGGAUGGUGGAAGCAUUUACAGAUGGCAUGAGACAUGAAUAACUUCAGUUGAAAAACGUAUGGCAUCAACAAGAAUAACACCAGUGAAGAAGUACUUGAUGCAUAAAAACA
rnacentral:lncRNA from 1 species